CAUUUUUUUCUCUGUCAGAAGAAAAUAAACCUAACUAUCCAAAACAUUUUUUUCUUCUUCUCAUUUCAUUUCUUCUUUCUCUGUGUGUCUUUGAAGGUGUUGCUCUGCAACCUAGAAGAAUGUAAACCCAGAAGAAAGCAAACCUCACCCUUAAAUCAAUUUCAUUCAUACCAAAACCCAACUUCACCUCUUACCCAAAAGAAACUGAAAUCAGAAAAACUCAAUCGCAAAAUCCCAAAAUCAAUUUAUUUGAAAAAACUGGAAUCUCGCCUGAAAAUUGAAGUUCGAGAGUUCAAUUGAAGCCCUAAGAGUUGAAUAACUUCACCUUUAACCCAGAAGGCUCAGCUUCAACAUCAGUAGCUGUAUGUGUGGAUAAAAAAUGGUGAAGAACAAUCUGUUUCGGGUUACCAAGGAAACCAGGACCAAAAAAUCUGUUCCAACUCCCAAGAAGAGGAUAAAGACUUAUCGCCAGCAUAUAAUUCUUUGUUUAGUGUGAUGAUUUUAUUUACCAUCUUCUUUUGUUUGACCUAUUCUAGUUUAUGUCGCAGAUUAACAAGGAAGCCAAAACUGUCCAGUCUGUCCCAUUACCAAAGAAUAAGUAGAUUUCGCAGCCUUCAAAGUCUGAAAUCAAACAAACAAUUCCUAACAAGAAGAAGAGUUCAGAGCAACCUGCAAUCCAAGGAUCUCCAAGUCAUUCACCAACUGAACGUGAAAAUACACCAAGAUGGACAUCCCCUAGGUUUAAGAACAAGUCAGAGGAACGAGAUCAUACCGCUGAAAAGAGUACUCCAACACGAUCAUCACCUAGGAAAAGAAAAGGUUUAGUUGAACCGGAAAGCGUCGCACAAUCUGUACCAGUCCAGUCCACAUCAGGAUCAUCUCAAACUGCACGCUCCAACGAAGUUUUUGAGAAGGAAAGGACAGUGAAGCGGAAAUUGUCCCAAUCAGGCCCAUGUCCGAAUGUGAAAAUCAGGAAUCCAAAUGAUACCCUCUCUGAUAUGGUUAGCAGAAGAAUGUGAAGAUAAAGAGGAAGCGGAACCAGAGAAUAUUGUUGCUACUGAAGAGAGGAAGGUGAAAACAAGGAAAUGGAGAAUGAUAAAGAGAAUGACAUCGCAGCAAAUGAAAAUGAAAAAGGAGAUGAGGUUGUACAGGGAGAGGAGAAGAGAAAAAGUGUUCCUCGUGGACUAACAAGGAUGUCUUCACAAGGGAUAACAGAGGACAAGACAAAAAAUCCAGACAAGGCCACUGUUAGCUUUAACAAUAAAGAUCAACCCAUUGGUGACCCUUCCGUGCAACUUGCAAGUGUGUUGGGAGUUUUAGUUAGGCGAAACAUUCCAUUAAAUUUCAAGGACUGGAGAUUGGUCCCUAAAUAAGCCAAAGAUAAUGUAUGGAAGAUUGUCCAGAUGAGGUUCAUUGUUGAUGAUUUCUACAGAGAUUACUAUCAUGGGAAGAUGUGUUGUUAUCUUAAGGAGGCUAGGUCUAAGAAAACAGGCAAGAUAUUAUACCUUGAUGAGUUGGAAGAAGAAGAAAGAGAGAAGAGGAUAAAAGCACUUAAACCACAGAACAUGUCAGACAAUGAGUGGGAGGAGUUCGUUGAAACUGUUUUCUCGAAGGAAUUCAGAG